rnacentral:rRNA from 1 species
CCUACGGGAGGCAGCAGUGAGGAAUAUUGGUCAAUGGCCGUAAGGCUGAACCAGCCAAGUAGCGUGAGGGCAGACUGCCCUCUGGGUUGUAAACCUCUUUUAUGCGGGGUUAAAGGUGUCCACGUGUGGAUGUUUGCAUGUACUUUAUGAAUACGGAUCGGCUAACUCCGUGCCAGCAGCCGCGGAUAUACGGAGGAUCCGAGCGUUAUCCGGUUUUAGUGGGUUUAAAGGGAGCGUAGGUGGGUUGUUAAGUCAGUUGUGAAAGGUUGCGGCUCAACCGGAAAAGUGCAAUUGAUACUGGCAGUCUUGAGUACAGUUGAGGUAGGCGGAAUUCGAGGUGUAGCAGUGAAAUGCUGAGAUAUCACGAAGAACCCCGAUUGCGAAGGCAGCUUACUAACCUGGGACUGACAUUGAUGCUCGAAAGUGUGGGUAUCAAACAGGAUUAGAUACCCGAGUAGUC